rnacentral:rRNA from 1 species
UACGAGUGCCCCAAGCGUUAUCCGGAAUCAUUGGGCGUAAAGGGUGUGUAGGUGGUCUAGUUAGUCUUCUGUUAAAUUCUUCGGCUUAACCGGGGUCCUGCAGGGGGAAACGGCUAGACUAGAGUGUGCAAGGGGUGAAUGGAACUCAUGGAGUAGGGGUGAAAUCCGUUGAUAUCAUGGGGAACACCAAAAGCGAAGGCAAUUCACUGGUGCAUUACUGACACUGAAACACGAAAGCGUGGGUAGCGAACUGG